ACACACACACACACAUCGUUAUGUCGUUAUCUACACACAUCUACACCAUCGUUAUUACACUGUAGAGGCUGUGGAGGUCGUUAUUAGACUGUGGAGGCUUUGGAGGUCGUUAUUAGACUGUGGAGGCUUUGGAGGUCGUUAUUAGACUGUGGAGGCUUUGGAGGUCGUUAUUAGACUGUGGAGGCUUUGGAGGUCGUUAUUAGACUGUGGAGGCUGUGGAGGUCGUUAUUAGACUGUGGAGGCUGUGGAGGUCGUUAUUAGACUGUAGAUGGCUUUGGAGGUCGUUAUUACACUGUAGAUGGCUUUGGAGGUCGUUAUUAGACUAGAGGCUGUGGAGGUCGUUAUUACACUGUGGAGGCUUUGGAGGUCGUUAUUACACUGUGGAGGCUUUGGAGGUCGUUAUUACACUGUGGAGGCUUUGGAGGUCGUUAUUACACUGUGGAGGCUUUGGAGGUCGUUAUUACACUGUGGAGGCUUUGGAGGUCGUUAUUACACUGUGGAGGCUGUGGAGGUCGUUAUUACACUGUGGAGGCUGUGGAGGUCGUUAUUACACUGUGGAGGCUGUGGAGGUCGUUAUUACACUGUGGAGGCUGUGG